rnacentral:lncRNA from 1 species
AAAACAGUGUAAUAAUAAAAAAAUUAAAUCUUUCGAAUAUCGAACUAAACAUAAAUUUGAAACAAUUUUUUCUUUUUAAUAAUCUCAUAAAAUAACACGAAGAAAAUUUGCAAUUUUCCAAGACGAUGGGAGACGGCGAGGGGAGGAUUUGUUCGUUGAAUUCGAGCCAAAACUCACGGAAUCGAGUCUGGAAGAUGUUGGAUGCAUGUUGGAUUUGUUUUUGUAACAAUACAUUUGAAAAUGCACUGCAAAAUGUAUUUUAAUUGAUUGAAUUAUAAAGAGCAGUGUCAGUUUUAACAAUCUAUCACUGGAUCAUUUAAAUAUAUAAUUUCUGUAAAUUUAACAAGCAAAGAGAGAAAAGAAAAAAGUCAAGUUUAACAAUUUAUUCCAUUUUAUUUUAAAAGUUCACUAAUAUAGGUUAGAUUAGAUUAGACUGUUUGCCUCCAAGAAUAACUAUAUUAAAUUGUACUGUAUACAAGAGCAAAGUGAGAAGAAAUAAGCAGGAAGUUAUUCAAAUUACUAUCGCUGCACGAAGCUAUCGAAUGUCCCCCUCGUAUUACGCCCCACCACUCCUGCAUACGUAUCGGAAAUCGGUUCAGAAAAAUAUUCGUACAGUCACGGUUCGUAGAGAAAUGGUCCAAAUACCUAGUUUAUAUCCUGGUGACCCGGUUGACCAUUUACGCACGACUGCAUACGAAGAAUAUUAAUUACGCGUCAACGACUCACCAAGUGUUCCGCAUUGACGUUGCGGAAGUAGGUCCGCCACGCGUUAAAUGCCACGAAGCAUCUUCGCAACGGCGACACGAAUAAUUUGGCGUGAUAAUUGUCUGGCUAAACAGCCGCGAAUGCGGCUAGGAAACGUGGGGCAAAAAACUGUCUGCGGAAUACCGAAUGUACCGUUUAUGAGAACGGAACAAAAUGUACGCGAUAAUAGGAACGAGAUGCGUAUAUAUAUGUGUGUAUAUAUACAUACCGAGGAUUUGAAAGAGAAUUGAUGGUAUUUGAAGAAACAUUUAAUUGCAUGACUUAGCGGAAACGUUGGAAAAUGAAACUGUGCGAAAAUUUGCUCGCCUCGCGCGUGUCUAAUUUCUUCUCUCUAAUCCCCCGACGGGAUCGACGGCGCCGUUGAUUGAUUAACGAGUAAUUUGGAUGGCGAUUGAACACGAAGACGAUAACGGAAUCGAAGUUAUAGAUUGUGGAUUAGUGAGAAGCGAUGUACGAGUUUUUAUUGCUCUUUUUGUUUUCAAAAUAAAAACCAAUAACAUAACAACUAAGUAAGUAGCUCACUCAAAUAUUAUUGCCUUGGGUCGAAACCUCUAUUCAUUUUCCUUAAUUUUAUGCCAUACCAGAGAUUACCAGAGACAAAUCUAUCUCCAGUUCUACAACCAUCAAAGGAGUAAAUAAAUUAUUAUGAUAUUAAUUUUUUAUGUUUUAUUUACGAGAGCUUGGAAUGAAAUGGCAUGACUUGAAUCUUAGCCAAAGGAAUUUUUCUUUUCUACCAGAAAGAAAUACAAUCAUGAAUGUAAUUCUUUGAGGAAAGAAAGAAGUUUAAGUAAUAAUUUGAGAUACAUCUUUAAAACGUUAAAUAUCCAACUUGAAAAAUAACAAACGUCAUAAAUCCAAACUCAUAACAAACUCUAUCAUUCUCGAGCUCAAAUUACUACGGUGGACGCGACAUUAAAAUGUUCAUCGCCCGAUCGACUCGUUUAUCUUAAGGCGUAUCCUCAACCGCAACGUUAGUUUUCCAACUUGAAG